AUGUCCCUUGGUCUCUAAGAAGCCAGUAUAGUCAUCUGGGUCCCUGAUCCAUGGUUUCUCCUUGGUUGUAAACUCCAAACCAGCUUGAGCUUAUGGUGAAUGCAUCUGGGCAUCCUUGAUUCUGGAGGGUCCAGAACUUCCUCUGCCCAAUCAUCUGCAGCUAGGAUCAGGUUCAGACAAUGUAUGCCAGGCACAGCUUGCGAAAGACCAGAAUGACAUGUUAGUGUGUGUGAGCAGGUGGCCCAGACCUUGUGGCACAAUCAUGUUAUCAUCUCCCUCUGUCUAUGCUGACAGCCUUGGCAGUCCUGACAGACAGAUGUUGGGGAGCCAUGACUUCAAACAGUUCCCAGUCGAAAGAAGACUGUGGAGAACAUUGCAACUACCGGAAAACUGGCUGGGAAAGGAAAAGUUCUCUCCAGACCAUUUAAAACAACUGAGUGUUAUUUCCUGACCUGGACAACAGUCAGAAGAACGGACCUGUGCCUUCUAUUUUCAACCUACAGUCCUUUUCUUCACUAGGAGGACAUUUGGAACUGUGCAUCUCCCUGCUGCUAUAAAACAGAAACACAUGAUCCAGAAAAGCAAAGCAACUGUCAGUCAAAGCCCUGGAAGCCCACAAUGGAGCAUGGUAGGCAGUUCCCUUCUGAAAUCUUCCAGCAGGAGGCUCUGGGAUCUUACUAAGCUGGAAGCUGAGAUUCUUGGGGACUUUGCAAGCCACCGAGUCAACACAAAUAAAACCAUUCAUUACUCCA